UUUGCAGAGAUCAAGCGACAGGGAGGAUGAUGAUGAUGAUAACUCGAUUUAUGAAAAAUAUGGGAGGUCUAACAGCGACCGAGAAGAUGAUGAUGACGACGACGAUGACGAAAGUUACUCACGAUCAAGCAGCAGCAAACGAUCCCAUAGCGAUAGAGAAGAUGACGAUGAAAAU